AACAUAGUUUUGAGAUUUGUCAUAAAUUCAAAAUUUCCCCUGCCCACUGAAUCAUAUUUAAUAUUUAAAUGGCCGCAGUACUUUGACUGUGCUAAGGUAGCAUAAUAAAUUGGCUUUUAAUUGAAGUCGAGAAUGAACGGGAUUUUAAUCAGAAUCUGUCUCAAAUAUAGAUUUAUAGAAAUUACUUAUUAGGUGAAAAUUCCUAUAAUUAUAUGUAAUAGACGAGAAGACCCUCAGAGUUUUUAUAAAUAAAGUAAUUAAUUUAAAUAUUAGAAGUUUUCUAUCUUUUGAACACUUACUUUUAAAUUUUUGUUGGGGCAACAAGUAAACAAAGAAUAAUAAAACUUUACCWAAUAGAUAUUAAAGUAAUAUAUUUAAGUAUAAGACAAAAGAAGUUUUUUGAGUAGAUUAAGACUACCUAAGGGAUAACAGCAUAAUUUAAUAUAUAAGAU
rnacentral:rRNA from 1 species